CCUAGGGUUGCUGCAGUGAGGAAUAUUGCACAAUGGAGGAAACUCUGAUGCAGCAACGCCGCGUGGAGGAUGACGCAUUUCGGUGUGUAAACUCCUUUUAUAUGUCAAGAAAAUGACGGUAGCAUAUGAAUAAGCUCCGGCUAACUCCGUGCCAGCAGCCGCGGUAAUACGGAGGGAGCAAGCGUUACUCGGAAUCACUGGGCGUAAAGGACGCGUAGGCGGGAUAGAAAGUCAGGUGUGAAAUCCUAUGGCUUAACCAUAGAACUGCACUUGAAACUUCUAACCUAGAGUAUGGGAGGGGAAGAUGGAAUUAGUGGUGUAGGGGUAAAAUCCGUAGAUAUCACUAGGAAUACCAAAAGCGAAGGCGAUCUUCUGGAACAAUACUGACGCUAAGGCGUGAAAGCGUGGGGAGCAAACAGGAUUAGAUACCCUCGUAGUC
rnacentral:rRNA from 1 species